rnacentral:lncRNA from 1 species
UGGAGAGUAAGUUUAUGACCUAUUAUGACUAUGUGAUGAAGACUCCAAAAAAGUACAGAGUUCAGACAGCAUUCAGAUUGGAGAACACAUCUAUGCGUGGAGAGAUGAAGCUUCCGGAUUCCAGAAGCUCCGGCACUGAGAACUCUUCCAGACCUUGCCCCAUGUCUCUCUUCAUCUGGCUGUUCAUUUGCAUCCCUUAUCAUAUCCUUUAAUGUAUAAUAAACUGAUUCAUACUGGUGGUUUUCUCCUUACUCAUCAUUGAAUGGGAGAAGUUCUGUCCAGACCUGCUGUCCCUAAAUAAUCCAUAGUAGACAGAAAAGAGCACAAAUUUAAUUUGGAAUCAAAUGGAUCUUCUACCCAAAGGACCACUGUCCAACCAUGGAUGCUGUUCACCAGUAAAAAUAUUCAACCAUUGUUUUGUGAUUAUCGCUAAGAAAUGUCUUUCUCAUCACGGCAUAAGCAGCAACAGUAAGAUUUUAGGACUUGGUUCUCUAGUUGACAACGUUUUACCCUCCCUGUUUUAGAGCAUGCUGACUUACCCUGCUUUCUUCCAAAAGAAAACUGAAGCUUGGAUUCCAGAAUGAGAAAAUGAGUUGAACAGAGCCAGAUGAACCCAGCUAGGUCAAGCCAAGCCCACAGAACCCCAGCUGAUCUGCAACAUUCAUGAAACAUUCUGUGGGUCUGCAAUUAGGACAGGGCAAACAGGGAUGGUUUGUCUCUGCUCCAUUCUGUCUGGUACCUCAGUUGGGAAGAUAAGAAGGCUGGGACUGAUGUGAUAGAUGGAGUCUGGAAUCAUCUGGAAGCAUCUUUACUUACAUCUUUGGAGGUUGAUGCCUGUUGUUG